rnacentral:rRNA from 1 species
UGGGGGAUAUUGGACAAUGGGGGCAACCCUGAUCCAGCGACGCCGCGUGAGUGAAGAAGUAUUUCGGUAUGUAAAGCUCUAUCAGCAGGGAAGAUAAUGACAGUACCUGACCAAGAAGCACCGGCUAAAUACGUGCCAGCAGCCGCGGUAAUACGUAUGGUGCAAGCGUUAGCCGGAUUUACUGGGUGUAAAGGGAGCGUAGGCGGUCUGCCAAGUCUGAUGUGAAAACCCGGGGCUCAACCCCGGGAGUGCAUUGGAAACUGGCGGACUGGAGUGUCGGAGAGGUAAGCGGAAUUCCUAGUGUAGCGGUGAAAUGCGUAGAUAUUAGGAGGAACACCAGUGGCGAAGGCGGCUUACUGGACGAUAACUGACGCUGAGGCUCGAAAGCGUGGGGAGCAAACAGG